CAGUAGCCGCGGGAAUACGGAGGGUGCGAGCGUUAAUCGGAAUUACUGGGCGUAAAGCGUACGCAGGCGGUUUGUUAAGUCAGAUGUGAAAUCCCCGAGCUUAACUCGGGAACUGCAUUUGAAACUGGCAGGCUAGAGUCUCGUAGAGGGGGGUAGAAUUCCAGGUGUAGCGGUGAAAUGCGUAGAGAUCUGGAGGAAUACCGGUGGCGAAGGCGGCCCCCUGGACGAAGACUGACGCUCAGGUACGAAAGCGUGGGGAGCAAACAGGAUUAGAUACCCGCGUAGUCCCUGUCUCUUAUAC
rnacentral:rRNA from 1 species